GCGUUAUCGGAUUAUUGGGCGUAAGAGCUCGUAGGCGGUUUGUCGCGUCUGCUGUGAAAUCCGGAGGCUCAACCUCCGGCCUGCAGUGGGUACGGGCAGACUAGAGUGCGGUAGGGGAGAUUGGAAUUCCUGGUGUAGCGGUGGAAUGCGCAGAUAUCAGGAGGAACACCGAUGGCGAAGGCAGAUCUCUGGGCCGUAACUGACGCUGAGGAGCGAAAGGGUGGGGAGCAAACAGGCUUAGAUACCCUGGUAGUCCACCCCGUAAACGUUGGGAACUAGUUGUGGGGUCCAUUCCACGGAUUCCGUGACGCAGCUAACGCAUUAAGUUCCCCGCCUGGGGAGUACGGCCGCAAGGCUAAAACUCAAAGGAAUUGACGGGGACCCGCACAAGCGGCGGAGCAUGCGGAUUAAUUCGAUGCAACGCGAAGAACCUUACCAAGGCUUGACAUAUACGAGAACGGGCCAGAAAUGGUCAACUCUUUGGACACUCGUAAACAGGUGGUGCAUGGUUGUCGUCAGCUCGUGUCGUGAGAUGUUGGGUUAAGUCCCGCAACGAGCGCAACCCUCGUUCUAUGUUGCCAGCACGUAAUGGUGGGAACUCAUGGGAUACUGCCGGGGUCAACUCGGAGGAAGGUGGGGAUGACGUCAAAUCAUCAUGCCCCUUAUGUCUUGGGCUUCACGCAUGCUACAAUGGCCGGUACAAAGGGCUGCAAUACCGCGAGGUGGAGCGAAUCCCAAAAAGCCGGUCCCAGUUCGGAUUGAGGUCUGCAACUCGACCUCAUGAAGUCGGAGUCGCUAGUAAUCGCAGAUCAGCAACGCUGCGGUGAAUACGUUCCCGGGUCUUGUACACACCGCCCGUCAGUCAUGAAAGUCGGUAACACCUGAAGC
rnacentral:rRNA from 1 species